rnacentral:rRNA from 1 species
UACGUAGGGGGGCAAGCGUUGUCCGGAAUCAUUGGGCGUAAAGAGCUCGUAGGCGGUUUGUUGCGUCGGCUGUGAAAUCCCGAGGCUCAACCUCGGGUCUGCAGUCGAUACGAGCAAACUAGAGUGUUGCAGGGGAGACUGGAAUUCCUGGUGUAGCGGUGAAAUGCGCAGAUAUCAGGAGGAACACCGAUGGCGAAGGCAGCUCACUGGGACGGUACUGACGCUGAGGAGCGAAAGCCAGGGGAGCAAACGGG